GAUGAACGCUGGCGGCGUGCUUAACACAUGCAAGUCGAACGGUGAACACGGAGCUUGCUCUGUGGGAUCAGUGGCGAACGGGUGAGUAACACGUGAGCAACCUGCCCCUGACUCUGGGAUAAGCGCUGGAAACGGCGUCUAAUACUGGAUAUGUGACGUGACCGCAUGGUCUGCGUUUGGAAAGAUUUUUCGGUUGGGGAUGGGCUCGCGGCCUAUCAGCUUGUUGGUGAGGUAAUGGCUCACCAAGGCGUCGACGGGUAGCCGGCCUGAGAGGGUGACCGGCCACAAUGGGACUGAGAAACGGCCCAGACUGCUACGGGAGGCAGCAGUGGGGAAUAUUGCACAAUGGGCGCAAGCCUGAUGCAGCAACGCCGCGUGAGGGAUGACGGCCUUCGGGUUGUAAACCUCUUUUAGCAGGGAAGAAGCGAAAGUGACGGUACCUGCAGAAAAAGCGCCGGCUAACUACGUG
rnacentral:rRNA from 1 species